rnacentral:rRNA from 1 species
GAUGAACGCUGGCGGCGUGCCUAAUACAUGCAAGUCGAGCGAACGGACGAGAAGCUUGCUUCUCUGAUGUUAGCGGCGGACGGGUGAGUAACACGUGGAUAACCUACCUAUAAGACUGGGAUAACUUCGGGAAACCGGAGCUAAUACCGGAUAAUAUUUUGAACCGCAUGGUUCAAAAGUAAAAGACGGUCUUGCUGUCACUUAUAGAUGGAUCCGCGCUGCAUUAGCUAGUUGGUAAGGUAACGGCUUACCAAGGCAACGAUGCAUAGCCGACCUGAGAGGGUGAUCGGCCACACUGGAACUGAGACACGGUCCAGACUCCUACGGGAGGCAGCAGUAGGGAAUCUUCCGCAAUGGGCGAAAGCCUGACGGAGCAACGCCGCGUGAGUGAUGAAGGUCUUCGGAUCGUAAAACUCUGUUAUUAGGGAAGAACAUAUGUGUAAGUAACUGUGCACAUCUUGACGGUACCUAAUCAGAAAGCCAGGCUAACUACGUG